UGUGAUGAGGAUGUUUGGGACUAUGAU
rnacentral:piRNA from 1 species